GAUGAACGCUGGCGGCGUGCCUAAUACAUGCAAGUCGAGCGAACAGACGAGGAGCUUGCUCCUCUGACGUUAGCGGCGGACGGGUGAGUAACACGUGGAUAACCUACCUAUAAGACUGGGAUAACUUCGGGAAACCGGAUCUAAUACCGGAUAAUAUAUUGAACCGCAUGGUUCAAUAGUGAAAGACAGUUUGGCUGUCACUUAUAGAUGGAUCCGCGCCGCAUUAGCUAGUUGGUAAGGUAACGGCUUACCAAGGCGACGAUGCGUAGCCGACCUGAGAGGGUGAUCGGCCACACUGGAACUGAGACACGGUCCAGACUCCUACGGGAGGCAGCAGUAGGGAAUCUUCCGCAAUGGGCGAAAGCCUGACGGAGCAACGCCGCGUGAGUGAUGAAGGUCUUCGGAUCGUAAAACUCUGUUAUUAGGGAAGAACAACUGUGUAAGUAACUAUGCACGUCUUGACGGUACCUAAUCAGAAAGCCACGGCUAACUACGUG
rnacentral:rRNA from 1 species